GGACCUACUUGGAGGAAUCCCAUAGGUCAGGGCCCUAGAAGGAAGGGGCGUUCAAGAGAGCUGCUAAUAUUCAAACAUCACUUCCUCCAGGCUCAAGAGCGGUGCAUCCCUAUGAGUARGAAGUCAAGCAAAGGAGGCAGGAGACCUGCAUGGAUGAGCAAGGAGCUCCUGGCAAAACUCAGCCAGAAGAAGGAAGUAUACAGAAAGUGGAAAGGGGGACAGGCCACUUGGGAGGAAUAUAGGAACGUUGUCAGAGUAUGCAGGGAUGCGACGAGGAAGGCUAAGGCCCGUUUGGAAUUAAAUCUGGCAAGAGAUGUCAAGGACAGCAGGAAGGGCUUCUUCAAAUACAUCAGUAGCAAGAGGAAGACUAGGGAAAAUGUGGGCCCUUUGCUGAAUGGGGUGGGUGCCCUGGUGACGAAGGAUGCAGAGAAGGCAGAGUUACUGAAUGCCGCCUUUGCUUCAGUCUUUACUGCUCAGGCCAGCCCUCAGGAAUCCCAGUCUCUGCAGGCAAGAGAGAAAGUCUGGAGAAAGGAAGACUUUCCCUUGGUGGAGGAGGAGUGGGUUAGAGAUCAUUUAAGCAAACUUGAUACCCACAAAUCCAUGGGCCCUGAUGGGAUGCACCCACGAGUGCUGAGGGAGCUGGCGGACGUUAUUGCACAGCCACUCUCCAUCAUCUUUGAAAGGUCAUGGAGGACAGGAGAGGUGCCUGAAGACUGGAAGAAAGCCAAUGUCACCCCAGUCUUCAAAAAGGGCAAGAAGGAGGACCCAGGGAACUACAGGCCAGUCAGCCUCACCUGCAUCCCUGGAAAGGUGAUGGAGCAGCUCAUCCUGGAAGCCAUCUGCAAGCAUGUGGAGGAAAAGAAGGUGAUCGGGAGUAGUCAGCAUGGCUUCACCAAGGGGAAAUCAUGCUUAACCAAUCUGAUAGCCUUCUCUGAUGGAAUGACUGGCUGGGUAGAUGAGGGGAGAGCAGUGGAUGUUGUCUACCUAGACUUCAGCAAGGCUUUUGACACUGUCUCCCAUAACAUCCUCAUAGGUAAGCUCAGGAAGUGUGGGUUAGAUGAGUGGACAGUGAGG
ensembl:lncRNA